UAGCAUAUCAAUAAGCGGAGGAAAAGAAACCAACAGGGAUUGCCCCAGUAACGGCGAGUGAAGCGGCAACAGCUCCAAAUUUGAAAUCUGGCCCCUCGGGCCCGAGUUGUAAUUUGUAGAGGAUGCUUUUGGCAAGGUGCCGCCCGAGUUCCCUGGAACGGGACGCCGCAGAGGGUGAGAGCCCCGUCUGGCUGGCCGCCGAGCCUCUGUAAAGCUCCUUCGACGAGUCGAGUAGUUUGGGAAUGCUGCUCAAAAUGGGAGGUAUAUGUCUUCUAAAGCUAAAUAUUGGCCAGAGACCGAUAGCGCACAAGUAGAGUGAUCGAAAGAUGAAAAGCACUUUGAAAAGAGGGUUAAACAGUACGUGAAAUUGUUGAAAGGGAAGCGCUCAUGACCAGACUUGGGCUUGGCGGAUCAUCCGGCGUUCUCGCCGGUGCACUUCGCCUCGCCCAGGCCAGCAUCAGUUCGCGCCGGGGGACAAAAGCUUCGGGAAUGUGGCUCCUCCGGGAGUGUUAUAGCCCGUUGCAUAAUACCCUGGGGCGGACUGAGGUUCGCGCAUCUGCAAGGAUGCUGGCGUAAUGGUCAUCAGCGACCCGUCUUGAAACACGGACCAAGGAGUCGUCUUCGUAUGCGAGUGUUCGGGUGUCAAACCCCUACGCGUAAUGAAAGUGAACGCAGGUGAGAGCUUCGGCGCAUCAUCGACCGAUCCUGAUGUUCUCGGAUGGAUUUGAGUAAGAGCAUACGGGGCCGGACCCGAAAGAAGGUGAACUAUGCCUGUAUAGGGUGAAGCCAGAGGAAACUCUGGUGGAGGCUCGCAGCGGUUCUGACGUGCAAAUCGAUCGUCAAAUAUGGGCAUGGGGGCGAAAGACUAAUCGAACCUUCUAGUAGCUGGUUUCCGCCGAU
rnacentral:rRNA from 1 species